rnacentral:rRNA from 1 species
UCCGGAGGGUGCAAGCGUUAAUCGGAAUUACUGGGCGUAAAGCGUGCGCAGGCGGUUUGUUAAGUCUGUUGUGAAAUCCCCGAGCUCAACUUGGGAAUUGCAAUGGAUACUGGCAGGCUGGAGUAUGGUAGAGGAAGGUGGAAUUCCCGGUGUAGCAGUGAAAUGCGUAGAGAUGUGGAGGAAUACCGAUGGCGAAGGCAGCCCCCUGGGAUGAUACUGACGCUCAUGCACGAAAGCGUGGGGAGCAAACAGG